CAGCCGCCACGGUAAUACGAAGGGUGCAAGCGUUGUCCGGAAUUAUUGGGCGUAAAGGGCUCGCAGGCGGUUUCUUAAGUCUGAUGUGAAAGCCCCCGGCUCAACCGGGGAGGGUCAUUGGAAACUGGGAAACUUGAGUGCAGAAGAGGAGAGUGGAAUUCCACGUGUAGCGGUGUAAUGCGUAGAGAUGUGGAGGAACACCAGUGGCGAAGGCGACUCUCUGGUCUGUAACUGACGCUGAGGAGCGAAAGCGUGGGGAGCGAACAGGAUUAGAUACCCCCGUAGUCCCUGUCUCUUAUAC
rnacentral:rRNA from 1 species